CUACUGGGGUAUCUAAUCCUGUUCGCUACCCAUGCUUUCGCUCCUCAGCGUCAGUAUCGGCCCAGAGACCCGCCUUCGCCACCGGUGUUCCUCCUGAUAUCUGCGCAUUUCACCGCUACACCAGGAAUUCCAGUCUCCCCUGCCGAACUCAAGUGAUGCCCGUAUCGACCGCACGCCCAGAGUUGAGCCCCAGGUUUUCACGGCCGACGCGACACACCGCCUACGAGCUCUUUACGCCCAAUAAUUCCGGACAACGCUCGCACCCUACGUAUUACCGCGGCUGCUGGCAC
rnacentral:rRNA from 1 species